rnacentral:rRNA from 1 species
UACGUAGGGUGCGAGCGUUAAUCGGAAUUACUGGGCGUAAAGCGUGCGCAGGCGGUUUGUUAAGCCAGAUGUGAAAGCCCCGGGCUCAACCUGGGAACUGCGUUUGGUACUGGCAAGCUAGAGUACGGCAGAGGGGGGUGGAAUUCCACGUGUAGCAGUGAAAUGCGUAGAGAUGUGGAGGAACACCGAUGGCGAAGGCAGCCCCCUGGGCCGAUACUGACGCUCAGGCACGAAAGCAUGGGGAGCGAACAGG